rnacentral:rRNA from 1 species
UUGGAGGGCAAGUCUGGUGCCAGCAGCCGCGGUAAUUCCAGCUCCAAUAGCGUAUAUUAAAGUUGUUGCAGUUAAAAAGCUCGUAGUUGAAUUUCGGGGUUCUACCGUUGGUCGGGCUUUGUCUGUACUGGCGUGUAGAAUUUCUACCUUCUGGGGAACCAUCAUGUUAUUAAUUUAACGUGGUGGGAAACCAGGACCUUUACCUUGAAAAAAUUAGAGUGUUCAAAGCAGGCUUAUGUCUGAAUACAUUAGCAUGGAAUAAUAAAAUAGGACGGUGGUCCUGUUUUGUUGGUUUCUGAAUCACCGUAAUGAUUAAUAGGGAUAGUUGGGGGCAUUAGUAUUCAAUUGUCAGAGGUGAAAUUCUUGGAUUUAUUGAAGACUAACUUCUGCGAAAGCAUUUGCCAAGGAUGUUUUCAUUAAUCAAGAACGAAAGUUAGGGGAUCGAAGACGAUCAGAUACCGUCGUAGUCUUAACCAUAAACUAUGCCGACUAGGGAUCGGACGAUGUUAAUUUUUCUUGACUCGUUCGGCGCCUUACGGGAAACCAAAGUGUUUGGGUUCA